rnacentral:tRNA from 1 species
AGGGGUAUCGCCAAGCGGUCUAAGGCAUGGGACUUUGACUCCCAUAUUCGCAGGUUCAAAUCCUGCUACCCCUG